rnacentral:misc_RNA from 1 species
GUAAUCCUUAAGCAACACGGGACCUCAUAAGCCACAUCUUCACGGGGAUCACAGCCUAUGAAAAACUUGAAUGGGGCAUUUUGUGAAUGAGCAUUUCCAUUAGAAUGCACAUUUGACGACAUCAUAAUCAAGAUUUCAACCAGCCAAAAGGCUUUAGUAUAAACCAAAUAUUUUCUGAAAUUUGGGAACACGAAACGAACAGACUGUUGGAC